rnacentral:rRNA from 1 species
AUUGAACGCUGGCGGCAGGCCUAACACAUGCAAGUCGAGCGGAUGAAGGGAGCUUGCUCCUGGAUUCAGCGGCGGACAGGUGAGUAAUGCCUAGGAAUCUGCCUGGUAGUGGGGGAUAACGUCCGGAAACGGGCGCUAAUACCGCAUACGUCCUGAGGGAGAAAGUGGGGGAUCUUCGGACCUCACGCUAUCAGAUGAGCCUAGGUCGGAUUAGCUAGUUGGUGGGGUAAAGGCCUACCAAGGCGACGAUCCGUAACUGGUCUGAGAGGAUGAUCAGUCACACUGGAACUGAGACACGGUCCAGACUCCUACGGGAGGCAGCAGUGGGGAAUAUUGGACAAUGGGCGAAAGCCUGAUCCAGCCAUGCCGCGUGUGUGAAGAAGGUCUUCGGAUUGUAAAGCACUUUAAGUUGGGAGGAAGGGCAGUAAGUUAAGACCUUGCUGUUUUGACGUUACCAACAGAAUAAGCACCGGCUAACUUCGUG